AUCUACGGCCAUGCCACCUUGAAUAAGCCCGAUCUCGUCUGACCUCAAAAGCUAAGCAGUGUUGGGCCUGGUUAAUACUUGAAUGGGAGACCACCUAGGAAGACCAGGUGUAAAUG
rnacentral:rRNA from 1 species